AGUGAACGCUGGCGGUAGGCCUAACACAUGCAAGUCGAACGGCAGCACAGUAAUAGCUUGCUCUUACGGGUGGCGAGUGGAGGACGGGUGAGGAAUACAUCUGAAUCUACUUUUUCGUGGGGGAUAACGUAGGGAAACUUACGCUAAUACCGCAUACGACCUACGGGUGAAAGCAGGGGAUCUUCGGACCUUUCGCGAUUGAAUGAGCCGAUUUCGGAUUAGCUAGUUGGCGGGGUAAAGGCCCACCAAGGCGACGAUCCGUAGCUGGUCUGAGAGGAUGAUCAGCAACACUGGAACUGAGACACGGUCCAGACUCCUACGGGAGGCAGCAGUGGGGAAUAGUGGACAAGGGGCGCAAGCCUGAGCCAGCCAUACCGCGUGGGUGAAGAAGGCCUUCGGGUUGUAAAGCCCUUUUGUUGGGAAAGAAAAGCAGCAGGUUAAGACCCCGCUGUUCUGACGGUACCCAAAGAAUAAGCACCGGCUAACUUCGUG
rnacentral:rRNA from 1 species